rnacentral:rRNA from 1 species
AGCGAACGCUGGCGGCAGGCUUAACACAUGCAAGUCGAACGGGCACUUCGGUGUCAGUGGCAGACGGGUGAGUAACGCGUGGGAACAUACCUCUUGGUUCGGAACAACACAGGGAAACUUGUGCUAAUACCGGAUAAGCCCUUACGGGGAAGAUUAUCGCCGAGAGAUUGGCCCGCGUCUGAUUAGCUAGUUGGUGUGGUAAAAGACGCACCAAGGCGACGAUCAGUAGCNGGUCUGAGAGGAUGAUCAGCCACAUUGGGACUGAGACACGGCCCAAACUCCUACGGGAGGCAGCAGUGGGGAAUAUUGGACAAUGGGCGCAAGCCUGAUCCAGCCAUGCCGCGUGAGUGAUGAAGGCCC